UCAGGAAGGGAAUUCCAAAGACAUUCGAACCUUAGAGAGAACAUCUUUCUAAAUGUCAGCCUUUGAACUGUGCAUAGAAAAAGGGGGCAGGUCUGAGCCAUGCUGUCAACAGCGUGUGCCUAUCAACUGAAGAUGCUGAGGUGACAUUCACAAGCAAGAAGCUUAAUAUAGAAGCUGUAUAUUCAAGUCCUUCCCACCUAGACACUGUGCCUUUACCAUAUGGCUAGAGUUGGUUUUUCUUGUUUGUUUCCUGCAUCGUGGCACUUCAGUCUGUCCCUCAGAAACACCACAGCCCGUCAGAAAGUAGUGUUUGCAGGUGUUGUCCUCACUUUCUGUUUACUGUUCUUUCUGAUUUUUGUGGAGUAUCAGCAUUGGAGAUCACCACUCAGGGACAAAGAGCUGGA